GUGCAGCAGUCGAGAAACUUUACAAUGUGCGAAAGCACGAUAAGGGAACUCUGAGUGCCUCCUAAGGAGGCUGUUCAGGUGUCUAAAAGCACCUGAAGGAAGGGCUGGGUAAGACCGGUGCCAGCCGCCGCGGUAACACCGGCAGCCCAAGUGGUAGCCACGUUUAUUGGGUCUAAAGCGUCCGUAGCCGGCUGGGUAAGUUCCUUGGGAAAUUUGGCUGCUUAACAGUCAAGCUUUCAGGGAAUACUGCCCGGCUUGGGACCGGGAGAGGUCAGAGGUACUCCAGGGGUAGGGGUGAAAUCCAUUAAUCCUUGGGGGACCACCGGUAGCGAAGGCGUCUGACCAGACCGGGUCCGACGGUGAGGGACGAAGGCUAGGGGCGCGAACCGGAUUAGAUA
rnacentral:rRNA from 1 species